GACGGAGGAUGCAAGUGUUAUCCGGAAUCACUGGGCGUAAAGCGUCUGUAGGUGGUUUAAAAAGUCCACUGUUAAAAAUUGAAGCUUAACUUCAAAGAUGCCGUGGAAACUUUUAAACUUGAGUAUGGUAGGGGUAGAGGGAAUUUCCAGUGGAGCGGUGAAAUGCGUAGAUAUUGGAAAGACCACCAAUGGCGAAGGCACUCUACUGGGCCAUUACUGACACUGAGAGACGAAAGCUAGGGGAGCAAAU
rnacentral:rRNA from 1 species